rnacentral:rRNA from 1 species
AUGAUCGACUCUUCAUACAUCGACCCGGACCACAACAACUACAUCAUCUACCGUGCCGGCGUCAACAAGCUUGAGGUGCUCCCCACCCACCCCACCCGCUUGUUCGCCGACUGGUCAGUUGCCCUCCUCCGCUACCCCGACAAUGGCAGGUUCUUGGUCGCCAAUCUUCGUUCAACUUACGACCUUGGGCAGUACGCCCUCGAUCUGUUUGACUCCCGGUCAGGCACAUGGAUCACCAGGCCCAUGCGUACAAAACCUCCACACGAGGACUGCUACUACGGCACUCCGACCAAGGUGAUCGCCCUCGGUGGCGAUCGUGGUUCAGUCGGCUGGGUCGACCUAUGGAAUGGUAUCCUCAUCGGUGAUCUGCUCCCCGGCGGCGACGGCGAUGACAACAACGUCCUCCGCUUCAUCCGUUUGCCCAUGCUUUUGGCGCCCAACAAGAUGACCCCGAGCUGUUUGUCUUGUGACUGGGACGUCUCUGUCGGCAGAGACGGCUCCAUCAAAUACUCAGAGGUGUGGGCUCAUCCUGUCCCUGGCUCACCGACCUACAUCUCCGAGGACUGGGGUGCUGCCAUACUGACAUGGCUGGAGUCCAAGAAGAAGUGGCACAUCGACCUCAAGCUCAAAGCCUCGGACAUCAUCGUGGACGAGACUCACUCCCAGUUGCUUCCUCAGCAUGAUGUCAAGGCCACAACGAAGAAUGCAACCUUGAGCAGACUUCACACAGGACAUCCUGCUCUCAGCUUGCAUGAUGAUGAUGUUGUUUACAUCAUGGCCAAGGUUGACCACAUGGACGACGACUCGUGGAUGCUUGCUAUUGACAUGAGGAACAAGAAUCUAAAAGGAGUGGCUGCUUUCACCAGUAAAAGAAGCUUGGGUUUUAGAUUCAUGUACCUGCAAAGUGACCUCUCGAACCAAGCUCUUCAACCUUCCGCCCAAAAGCAAAGAAAGAAGAAUCCUUCUAAAACUGCCAAGCAACAACCUGGGAAGACUCUUGCUAACAGCUGUCGUGUGGAACAAGAAGAACAGGAGCUGAGGAUACUCGAGCCUCGAGUUAUUACUAUUCAGCCCCCCUCUGUACCUAAGGAGGACUCUGUUGGCAUAUUACCUCCAGGACAGGGGUCUGAUGUGCCAGAAGGCAUUGGUGCUGCUUCCGCAAAUGUGAGUGCACCAAUAUCAUUUACCCUGGAGGUCAAGAAUGACGGCGCUGGAGAUGCCAAUGAGCAAACUAAGGAGACAAGUGCAAGCAAUGCCACUGGCCUAGCAUCUCUAGGACCAUUAUCCCCGUCUGAUGAAGGCGCGGUCUUGAAUAAUGACUUGAUAGAGAAAACAGAUGGCUAUCUCUCUGAUGAACAUUCAUUUGAACACAACCAAAAUGCAGAUUCAAAUGGUGAUAUGUCUACUACAGCGUAUCAGUUGGAAGACUUGACCAUACAUGAGGAAAACAGACCAAAACCAUCUGAUGAUAACACAGCUGUAAUAAUCCCAGGCCACCUUCAGGUUUCCAAUGCUGAUUUUGCGCACUUGACAUUCGGUAGUUUUGUGUCUGGGACACUCGAUGCAUCAUGCUCCAUGAUGCCUGCCAAUGCACCAGCAAUGCCGCCUUUCCGUGAGUUGGAUCCAGCAUUCUCACUGCUGCUUACUAACCCUCCAUUGGCUACAAUUGUUCAUGGUACACCACAAUCGUCCAUGAACAAUGCAACUGUUUCUUCACAGCCACAAGAGAAUCUUAAUCAAGGUGGUUUAUCUAACCCACAGUUGACCCACUCUCAGGGAAGCACCGGCAUUGCCCCAGGUCCUCCUCUGCCUCACCAUCUUUCUGCCCUUCAUCCUUAUGCUCAAGGAGGGCUUCCCCUUGGAUAUGAAAACAUGAUCGGAUACCCAUCUUUGCCGCAAAGCUAUGCGUAUCUCCCGCCUGCUGCCUAUCAGCAAGCAUACAUGAACAGUGGUCUAUUCCACCAAGGCGCAGCUGCAGCUCCCAACUCGGGCGUAAAAUACCCAAUGCCACAAUACAAGAGCAAUGUUCCUCUUGGGAGCCUUCCACAGCCAGCCUCGAUGCUCUCCAACUACGUUGGAGGUUUCGGAACUGCAAAUGGCAUGCCUCAAAACUUUGCCCUGAACCAAAGCAAUCCGUCGACAACCAUAGCUCCUGGGUUUGAUGGAGCAAUGCCCUCCCAAUACAAGGAUGGAAACCCCUACAUGUCUCUACAGCAGGGCGAGAACCCUGCAAUGUGGAUGCAUGGAGCUGGUUCGCGAGGAAUGCCGCCUCUUGCUGCCAACCCCUUGUAUGGCUAUCAAGGGCAGUAG